rnacentral:lncRNA from 1 species
AUGAAGAGGCGAGUAAACUGGUCGAAGGACUGGAUUGAGUUAGCCUCCAAGCCGGCGAACCACGCCCUUGCCGGGCCACGGAGGGUCGCCGGGAAGGCCUUGCAGAGGAGAGGAUCUGAUGCUCCGUGGAGGAGCAUAAGGGUCCUGAAACUUUCGACGUGAUCCCGCGGGUCCGCCGCCCCGUCAUAGGGCUCGAUCGCCGGCAUUUUAAACCUCGGCGGAUUCGGGGUCCGCAGGAUCCUCGAGGCAAGCGCCGGCUGGGAGGAGAUCUCCAAGUCGGCGAAGGGAUCUUUGGAGUGGCCCUUCAGGACCUGGAGUUGUCGGUGGAGAUCGUCCACCCGCCGGUCCAGGGAGCGCGACCGAUGGGUGGAAGACAAGGAGCACCGAGAGGGGGACCGACUGGAGCACGGGUUCCUUGAGGACUGGGGGAUCUGGGAACGCGCCCGGGCCCGC